rnacentral:rRNA from 1 species
CCUACGGGUGGCAGCAGUGAGGAAUAUUGGUCAAUGGGCGCAAGCCUGAACCAGCCAAGUCGCGUGAGGGAAGACGGUCCUAUGGAUUGUAAACCUCUUUUGUCGGGGAGCAAAAGACGCCACGCGUGGCGUUCCGAGAGUACCCGAAGAAAAAGCAUCGGCUAACUCCGUGCCAGCAGCCGCGGUAAUACGGGGGAUGCGAGCGUUAUCCGGAUUUAUUGGGUUAAAAGGGUGCGCAGGCGGACUGUCAAGUCAGCGGUAAAAGUGAGGGGCUCAACCCCGGCGAGACGUUGAAACUGGUUUUAUUGAGUGAGCGAGAAGUAUGCGGAAUGCGUAGUGUAGCGGGGAAAUGCAUAGAUAUUACGCAGAACUCCGAUUGCGAAGGCAGCAUACCGGCGCUCAACUGACGCUGAGGCACGAAAGUGUGGGUAUCGAACAGGAUUAGAUACCCUAGUAGUC